UACGUAGGUGACAAGCGUUGUCCGGAUUUACUGGGCGUAAAGAGCGCGCAGGCGGUCGAUCAAGUCGAGUGUGAAAGCCCUGGGCUCAACCCAGGAAGUGCAUUCGAAACUGCAGAGCUGGAGUCCUGGAUAGGAAGGCGGAAUUCUCGGUGUAGAGGUGAUAUUCGUAGAUAUCGAGAGGAACACCGGUGGCGAAGGCGGCCUUCUGGACAGUGACUGACGGUGAGACGCGAAAGCGUGGGGAGCAAACAGG
rnacentral:rRNA from 1 species